rnacentral:rRNA from 1 species
UGGGUAACCUGCCUCAAAGAGGGGAAUAGCCUCCCGAAAGGGAGAUUAAUACCGCAUAAUAUGUUUAAGUCGCAUGACUUUAACAUCAAAGGAUUUUCUUUUAGAACUUCCACUUUGAGAUGGACCCGCGGCGCAUUAGCUAGUUGGUGAGGCAACGGCUCACCAAGGCAACGAUGCGUAGCCGACCUGAGAGGGUGAUCGGCCACACUGGGACUGAGACACGGUCCAGACCUNUACGGGAGG